CGCAUCUGUGCAUGCAGCAUAUCAAUAAGUGGAGGAAAAGAAACUAACAAGGAUUCCCCUAGUAACGGCGAGUGAAGCGGGAAGAGCUCAAAUUUGAAGUCUUAAAGGGUUUCCCUUUACGAAUUGUAGUUUAAAGAAGUGUUUUCUGUUGAGGUUUUGGUAAAAGUUCUUUGGAAUAGGACAUCAUAGAGGGUGAGAAUCCCGUAUUUGACCUUUACUUUCAACUUUGUGAUACACUUUCAAAGAGUCGGAUUGUUUGGGAAUGCAGUCCAAAAUGGGUGGUAAAUUUCAUCUAAAGCUAAAUAUUGGCGAGAGACCGAUAGCGAACAAGUACCGUGAGGGAAGGAUGAAAAGAACUUUGAAAAGAGAGUUAAACAGUACGUGAAAUUGUCAAAAGGGAAGCGUUUGACACCAGUGUUGUUUUUUCUGAAAAUCAAUUAAAGAACUGUUUAUGCUAAGCUGUUUAGACUUUAUCAGCUAUCUGUUUAGUUUUGAGCUUUUCUUUAAUGCACUUUUCAGUUAACAAGUCAACAUCAAUUUCUUUUGCUGUAAAAAAGCUUGAGGAAGGUGGCUUGAGAUUCGUCUUAAGUGUUUAUAGCCUCUUGCCUAUGCAGUCGGAGAGAUUGAGGUCUGCAGCGUAGAUCCUUCGGGGCUAAAUGCAUUUGUGCUAAGUUAUAGCAUUUUAUAGACAACUUGUUGACUAUGAUUUGUCUUGUAGCUUACUCGCUUAUGUUAUUUUACCUACGCUUAGGAUGUUGAGUCAUCACACAUCUCU
rnacentral:rRNA from 1 species